UGGAAUUCACACUGGUUGUUUUCAGCAGCUCUCGCUGCCUCCACUUCCUCUGAAAGGUUUUGGUCUCAUGCCCUUGGGGACUCUGACACGUACGGGAAGCAAGCAUGUCACAAGGAGGCUGCCGAGGAGGGAAGGCCACCUGCCCCUGCUCUUUUCCUGCAACAGCCAUGCACCUAACACUUCUCUGCUGCGUGGCCCUCUGUGUCUGGGGAGCAGGCUCCGUGGACCCUGAGGUCACCCAGGAUCCUGGACAUCUGGUCAAAGGAAAAGGACAGAAAGCGAAGAUGACUUGUGUCCCCAUAAAAGGACAUAAUUAUGUUUAUUGGUAUCGUCGGAAGCUGGGAGAAGAGCUCAAGUUUAUGGUUUAUCUACAGAAUGAAAAAAUUAUUGAGAAAACGGACAUGAUCAAUGAGCGGUGUUCAGCUCAAUGCCCCACAAACUUCCCGUGCCGCCUGGAAAUACAGUCCACGGAGCCAGGGGACUCAGCUUUGUACUUCUGUGCCAGCAGCCAAUCCACAGUGCUGAAUGUCAGCUUUUCUUAG